GCCAUGUGAUAUUGAUGAGAUGUGAUUGUGGAAAUUGAGAAUUUAGAAGUGUUAUUUGAGCCUUUUUGCAGGUUGGGUAGAACCCAGGUAUAGGGGAAACUCUGCCGGAUUUUCGGCAUGAAUUAGGCUGUCUAUUGCCUCUUUAGAGUUUUAUUCUAACUUAGUACUAAUAAAUUUAUAAUUUAAUUAUUAGGUGAUCGAGAUCAGCUAUUUUUCUGCGUCCAGCAGCCACAAUAGUCAUCGGUGUACUGCCACAGGAGGAGUUAUUUUACAGAGCAACCUGUUUUCUUUCUCGCAGGUUUAAUGUCGAUUAUUUAAUUGUAUUAUUAUUCUCUAAAUUUGUAAUUUAGGACUCCGCAUGUGCUAGUAGUAGCAUUAAGCCUGUCAGGGACUGUAUGAAUUCAAGUUUGCGUAUUAAUAAAUGAAAAGAAAAUUUUUAUGA